rnacentral:rRNA from 1 species
CUCUAGACGAACGCUGGCGGCGUCCUAAUACAUGCAAGUCGAGCGGACUAAUUGGAGCUUGCUCCAAUUAGUUAGCGGCGGACGGGUGAGUAACACGUGGGCAACCUACCUAUAAGACUGGGAUAACUUCGGGAAACCGGAGCUAAUACCGGAUGACACAAAGGAACUCCUGUUCCUUUGUUGAAAGAUGGCUUCGGCUAUCACUUAUAGAUGGGCCCGCGGCGCAUUAGCUAGUUGGUGAGGUAACGGCUCACCAAGGCGACGAUGCGUAGCCGACCUGAGAGGGUGAUCGGCCACACUGGGACUGAGACACGGCCCAGACUCCUACGGGAGGCAGCAGUAGGGAAUCUUCCGCAAUGGACGAAAGUCUGACGGAGCAACGCCGCGUGAGCGAUGAAGGCCUUCGGGUCGUAAAAGGUCUGUUGUUAGGGAAGAACAAGUGCUAGUUGAAUAAGCUGGCACCUGACGGUA